UGAAAUAGCAGGUCAGGUGUUGAGGU
rnacentral:piRNA from 1 species